GUCAUUACAGUGGCAAAGUAAUUCCCAACUAACUUAAAGCAAUAAAUACAUAAUGCAUCUGUUGAGUUUUCCCACACGCGUUUAUACACGGCGUUGCAACUGCAAAGUUGUGCAGACUUCUGCCCAGUUCCAUGAAAUCAUGCAUCACGGUACGGCUCAUGAGAUGUUACGAGUCAUGGAUUUAUUUGCACGGAAUUGAAACGACGACUCCUGCUCGUCAACAGUCAUCCAAACUUUUUGCAUCAGUCGUUUCCUACGAGACAGUCAACUUCCAAGACAUAUCAUUCUAUAUAUAUAUAUAUAUAUACUUGUCUACCUUGAACGACUUUGAAUUGUCGUUACUUUCAAUGUUUUAAAAUCAUGUUAAAGAACAUAAAAUAAAAAAAAGUCUGAUUAACUGCAGGAAUGUCAUCUAUGAUAACCUAAAGGAAAAGUAGCAGGACAAGUGUUUAUAAGGGAGCAUUAAUAUGGAUGUUAAAAACAUAGGAGAGCAUUAAACCAUUUUCAAUAUGAAAAAAUUUUCUAUAAUAGAAUCGACACAUUAGAAAUGAUGCUUAUGAUUCAUUAUGUUUUGGCGGUGGCACGUAAGGAUGAUGUUUUAAGGUGCGUGGACACAGCAGGGGCUCAUAUAGUAAUCUGAGUUGGUUCAGUAUAUAAGAUCGCAUCUUAGAUCCAGUGUCAAAGAGUUUGUGCUUUGGCGAUGCCGACACGUUCUCUCAGAGUUGUUUACUCAGGGCUACCUCUAUUUCAUUCUUUAAACAAAAUUUAUUUUUUUAUGGACUAAGUUAUAUCAGGUGACGAAAAUCCCCUCUUUCAAGCUAAACACAAAAAACGUAGUUAUAAAACUAAUUAGUGUUUAGAAUAAAAAUAAGCAAAGCUCAAGAGAAUUAAAAAUCAAAUGUAAAUAAAAAUAUUUGAUUAUACGAAUGUAAUUUUUCGGACAAGAAAUUUGCAUUUUUUUAGAUACGAUUUCAAUAACUUGUAUUUUUAAUAUUAUCUUCCCACUAUCGGGUCAAAACUUCAGAAAAAAAUAAAUGUCGCAAAAAUACAAUAGAGAUCGAAGGUAAAAGCCCUAAACCUGAUCAGUAUCAUUAGUCGCUCACUUCAACUGCUAAAUGCGUUUUUAUAUUUAUAAUGAAAAAAAAAUCCUCGCACU